AGAGUUUGAUCCUGGCUCAGGAUGAACGCUGGCGGCGUGCCUAAUACAUGCAAGUCGAACGAGGUGCUUUUGUAGCAAUACGAGAGUAUCCUAGUGGCGAACGGGUGAGUAACGCGUUGGAACAUGCCCGGUAGUGGGGGACAACAGCGCGAAAGCGAUGCUAAUCCCGCAUACGCUCGCAAGAGAAAAGCGUGCAAACGCGCUGCCGGAGUGGCCCGCGGCCCAUCAGGUCGUCGGUGGGGUAACGGCCUACCGAGCCGAUGACGGGUAGCUGGUCUGUGAGGACAGACAGCCAGACUGGGACUGAGACACGGCCCAGACUCCUACGGGAGGCAGCAGCAAGGAAUUUUCGUCAAUGGGCGCAAGCCUGAACGAGCAACGCCGCGUGGAGGAUGACGGCCUUCGGGUUGUAAACUCCUUUUUCGGGGGACGAUGAUGACGGUACCCCGGGAAUAAGGCUCGGCUAACUCUGUGCCAGCAGCCGCGGUAAUAC
rnacentral:rRNA from 1 species